AAUGAGGUUUCUCCCUCAGGAGAACAUAAUUAGGGACUAUUUUCACCUGGCAGGUGCAUAUAAGGAGCUGACCCCUCCCACAUCUUAAGCCCCUGACACAUUGUGCCAGGUAGUUGUGACACAGGUGGAAGGAGCAGCCAUAUCUGUUAUAAAUCCCACCUUGUUUAAAAACCCCAUUUCUCAGAGUAAUGAAAAGAUUAGCAUCAUGGGUGUAUCUAGAAAAACUAUCUCAGGUUUUAAAUCAAAACCUUACAGUUUGU
rnacentral:lncRNA from 1 species